rnacentral:antisense_RNA from 1 species
UUUUAUGACGGCCGUGCGCGGGAGACCUUCGGGUCUGCCGGUUUCUCUACUGCCGGCUCGCCAAACUGCGUACAGCUGUCACCCCU